rnacentral:lncRNA from 1 species
UUAACUCAUGAACCGUUCAACCAAAGCUUUUAAAAUUUAAUAUGUUAUUACUGACAACUAUACGAAGGUCAAGUUCAAUAAUGGCGAUUUUGACUUUUACCGUUCAGGAGUUAUGGUUCUUGAAAGGCGGCAAUCAAAUGUUGUCCGUGCAUUAACUCAUGAACCGUUCAACCAAAGCUUUUAAAAUUUUAAUAUGUUAUUACUGACAACUAUACGGAGGUCAAGUUCAAUAAUGGCGAUUUUGACUUUUACCGUUCAGGAGUUAUGGUUCUUGAAAGAUUGAAAAAUGGAGUUUUCAGUCGUGUCCGUGCA